rnacentral:rRNA from 1 species
ACUACGGGUGGCUGCAGUGGGGAAUAUUGGGCAAUGGGCGCAAGCCUGACCCAGCAACGCCGCGUGAAGGAAGAAGGCUUUCGGGUUGUAAACUUCUUUUCUCAGGGACGAAGCAAGUGACGGUACCUGAGGAAUAAGCCACGGCUAACUACGUGCCAGCAGCCGCGGUAAUACGUAGGUGGCAAGCGUUAUCCGGAUUUACUGGGUGUAAAGGGCGUGUAGGCGGGAAAGCAAGUCAGAUGUGAAAACCAUGGGCUCAACCUGUGGCCUGCAUUUGAAACUGUUUUUCUUGAGUACUGGAGAGGCAGACGGAAUUCCUAGUGUAGCGGUGAAAUGCGUAGAUAUUAGGAGGAACACCAGUGGCGAAGGCGGUCUGCUGGACAGCAACUGACGCUGAGGCGCGAAAGCGUGGGGAGCAAACAGGAUUAGAUACCCCAGUAGUC